GCCUGAUGUGGGACUCGAUCCCAGGACCCUGGGAUCAUGACCCGAGCAGAAGGCAGACAUCUGACUGAGCCACCCAGGCGUCCCUGGAAGAAACUUCUUUACAGUUUCCCUGUUCUUCCUCUCCACCUACAAGAACCCCUUUGGGCUGCUGCUGUUGUUAUUCCUGUUUGAUCGAUGAGGAACCUGGGGCUUGGAGAGCCUGUUACAGAGAACGCAGACGGUGACCAGAUCCAGCCUCUCCCAGACCACGCCUGGCGGUUGCCAGAUGACAAGUCAGGUCUAGUGAUGGGGGGGCACGUGCUUUUUUCAGUACAAGAUUUCGUGAUUGCAGAUGUUCUGGGAUGUGUAACAGGGGACAAGAAACACUUGCUUAAUAUUAUUUGCCAGAGCCCUGGACAAGGAAGGCAGACUCUGUGUUGUGGGUCUCAUUCCACACCUGGCUGUGUGCCUGUGGUGAGGGACACCGACCCUGUGGGCCUGCACCUUUCUCAUCUCAUACCUGCCCUGCCCUGCCAUGCCAUUUGGGGUUGUCCUGUUUGAUGUGCUGUCCAGUGUAUUUGAGUGCUCUCUGCAUCCUGUGACGGACAGUGUAAACGGAAGGGGCUGUUACUCCUCAGGGGAGGUUGGUGAGCUCCCAUCUUUCUGCUCUCCUCUCCUUUUCUCAUCUUCUGUGCUGUCUGUUCUCGCUCUGUAAGCUGGCUGACUCUCCUGGGAACUGGAUGCAGCCAGUUCCAUGGUCCCAGUGGGAGCCGCCAAUCCUGUGUGUCCCCCAGGGUAAGGAUGAGUGGGAGGAGGGAGGAUGAUGCCCUUUUGGGCCUAUUGGGCCUUCUCUUUGGCAUCAGCGUGGAAUAUCUGGAAGCUGCCAGCAGAGGGCAGUAGCACCUCAUGCCUUGACUCCUCCCCUGCGCUUCCUGGCCUCAGCUAGAAGGCC